UACGUAGGGGGCGAGCGUUGUCCGGAUUCAUUGGGCGUAAAGAGCUCGUAGGCGGUUUGUUGCGUCGGCUGUGAAAUCCCGAGGCUCAACCUCGGGUCUGCAGUCGAUACGAGCAAACUAGAGUGUUGCAGGGGAGACUGGAAUUCCUGGUGUAGCGGUGAAAUGCGCAGAUAUCAGGAGGAACACCGGUGGCGAAGGCGCUGCUCUGGGCCGGUACUGACGCUGAGGAGCGAAAGCGUGGGUAGCAAACAGG
rnacentral:rRNA from 1 species